GACGAACGCUAGCUACAGGCUUAACACAUGCAAGUCGGGGGGCAGCACUAGGUAGCAAUACUGAGGUGGCGACCGGCGCACGGGUGCGUAACGCGUAUCCAACCUUCCCGUUACUCUUGGAUAGCCUUCCGAAAGGGAGAUUAAUACAAGAUGGUAUUCAAAUUCCGCAUGUUAUUUGAAUUAAAGAUUUAUCGGUAACGGAUGGGGAUGCGUGACAUUAGAUAGUAGGCGGGGUAACGGCCCACCUAGUCUACGAUGUCUAGGGGUUCUGAGAGGAAGGUCCCCCACACUGGAACUGAGACACGGUGCAGACUCCUACGGGAGGCAGCAGUGAGGAAUAUUGGUCAAUGGUCGGAAGACUGAACCAGCCAAGUAGCGUGAAGGAUGAAGGUUCUAUGGAUUGUAAACUUCUUUUAUACGGGAAUAAAACACCUUACGUGUAGGGUCUUGUAUGUACCGUAUGAAUAAGCAUCGGCUAACUCCGUGCCAGCAGCCGCCGUAAUAC
rnacentral:rRNA from 1 species